GCAUCAUCAGAACUGUGGGGACACAGAAGGACAACACAUCCCGGGAAUGGGAAUACCGGGGCAAGCGGGGUAGGGGUACGGCUGGCAAAUCCGCCGUGCAACCCGAAGACGUGACGCGGAGCGAACUGAAGUAGCGAAGUGUGUGAUUCCGGCUGUCAAGAAAAGCCGCUAUCGUGUGAUGCAUGCCCGUACCGUAAACCGACACAGGUGGAUGAGGAGAGAAUCCUAAGGCCGGCGGGAGAAGCAUUGUUAAGGAACUCGGCAAAAUGACCCCGUAACUUCGGGAGAAGGGGUGCCACAGAGAUGUGGCCGCAGAGAAUAGGCUCAAGCAACUGUUUAGCAAAAACACAGGUCUAUGCAAAACCGAAAGGUGAGGUAUAUGGGCUGACGCCUGCCCGGUGCUGGAAGGUUAAGAGGAGAGGUUAGCGCAAGCGAAGCUUUGAAUUUAAGCCCCAGUAAACGGCGGCCGUAACUAUAACGGUCCUAAGGUAGCGAAAUUCCUUGUCGGGUAAGUUCCGACCCGCACGAAAGGCGUAAUGAUUUGAGCGCUGUCUCAACAAUGCACCCGGUGAAAUUGAAAUACCAGUGAAGAUGCUGGUUACCUGCGCCAGGACGGAAAGACCCCAUGGAGCUUUACUCCAGCUUGAUACUGGGAUUCGAUAUUGCAUGUACAGGAUAGGUGGGAGACUAGGAAGCGGUGACGCCAGUUGCCGCAGAGUCGCUGUUGGGAUACCACCCUUGCAGUAUUGGAUUUCUAACCAGCAGCCGUGAACCGGCUGGGGGACAAUGUCAGGUGGGGAGUUUGACUGGGGCGGUCGCCUCCGAAAGGGUAUCGGAGGCGCUCAAAGGUUCCCUCAGAAUGGUUGGAAACCAUUCGAAGAGUGCAAAGGCAGAAGGGAGCUUGACUGCGACACCGACGGGUGGAGCAGGUACGAAAGUAGGACUUAGUGAUCCGGUGGUAUAAAGUGGGAUUGCCAUCGCUCAACGGAUAAAAGCUACCCUGGGGAUAACAGGCUUAUCACUCCCAAGAGUUCACAUCGACGGAGUGGUUUGGCACCUCGAUGUCGGCUCAUCGCAUCCUGGGGCUGAAGUAGGUCCCAAGGGUUGGGCUGUUCGCCCAUUAAAGCGGUACGCGAGCUGGGUUCAGAACGUCGUGAGACAGUUCGGUCCCUAUCCGGCGUGGGCGUAGGAUAUUUGAGAGGAGCUGACCUUAGUACGAGAGGACCGGGUUGGACUGGCCGCUGGUGAAUCUGUUGUUCUACCAAGAGCAUGGCAGAGUAGCCAAGCCGGGAAGGGAUAAACGCUGAAGGCAUCUAAGCGUGAAGCCCCCCUCAAGAUGAGAUAUCCCAUAACGUCAAGUUAGUAAGACCCCUUGAAGACGACGAGGUAGAUAGGGCAGAGGUGGAAGUGUGGUAACACAUGGAGCUGACUGUUACUAAUAGGUCGAGGGCAUAACCAA
rnacentral:rRNA from 1 species